UCUAUGGACUUCGGUCCAUGGCGGACGGCUCAGUAACACGUGGUUAACCUACCCUUAGGUGGGGGAUAACCUUGGGAAACUGAGGAUAAUACCCCAUAGGAAAAGAGGUUUGGAAUAAUCCUUUUCUGAAAGGACAUCCGCCUAAGGAUGGGACUGCGUCUGAUUAGGUAGUUGGUGGGGUAAUGGCCCACCAAGCCUACGAUCAGUACGGGCCUUGAGAGAGGGAGCCCGGAGAUGGGGACUGAGACACGGCCCCAGGCCCUACGGGGCGCAGCAGGCGCGAAACCUCCACAAUGCACGAAAGUGCGAUGGGGGAAUCCCAAGUGCCUAUGUAAAACAUAGGCUUUUCCCAAGUUUAAACAACUUGGGGAAUAAGGGCUGGGCAAGUCCGGUGCCAGCAGCCGCGGUAACACCGGCGGCCCG
rnacentral:rRNA from 1 species